CGGCAAACAGGGAAAUUAGAACAAAAUGAUAAAAACAAUCUGUGGUUCUCUCCUGUGGGAUUUGUUGAGCUCUUUCAAGGCAUAUCCAGUGACUGCUGAAAUUGACUUCUUGGAAGAAAGAGAAGAGGAAGGAAAAUGGGCACAUUAUCAUGAACUUUGUCUCUUGUGGGCUUUGUGGCUCUAGCUGACCAUGUCACUACCCAGCCUCUGCUAAACAUUACUCUCUUGGAAUGACCUAUGGUGGGUACACAAGCCAAUGGCAUUCCCUGGAAACAUGGGUAAGCUAAGGCCAGGGCAUAUUGGUCUAGCGGAGUGACCUGGCCUUUCUCAGAAAUGAGGGAUCUUUAAGUAACAGAAUCCAGGUAGUGGCACAACCAGGGGACACUGGCUCAUGCUCUCAGCAGUGGCACCUUAAUUGCCUGGAGCAGUAAGGGACACAAAUAUUUAGGUAGCUGCUGGGUUUCUCACAACUAGGAGGACCACAGCUUACAAAACAACACUGGCAGCUCAUUUAGGGGAACACUGUUGUCCCCAUUGAACAGAUGAGGAAACUGAGUCUCAGAGAUUACAUUGAAUUUGUCUGGGGUGACUCUGCCAGAAACUGGCAGAGCCUGGAUCCAAAUUCAGAGCUUUUGAUGCCAUGUGCUAUUCCAGAAACCCAUGACUGUCUCCUCCUCUUAGUCAUCAUUGUCCCCAUCGUUGGACAGUAAGUGCUUUAGUGUCUUACUAGCCAUACAGUGUACCACAGAUGAACUUGAGUUUAAUGCCUGACUUUACCAGUGACCCAAAGCAGUAUAUUUAACCUCUCUGAGAUUGGGUUCCUCAUCUACAAAAUGAGGAUCGUCAGAGUUUCCACCUCACAGGAUUUAGGGGAAGUUUUAAGAGAGAUAAUGUAUAUAAAACCCUUAGCAGAUUGCCUGGCUCAUAGGAGGUACUCAAUAAACACAUCUUGCUGUUAUCUUCUUCUCCAAGGGCUGCCUCACAGGACAGCAGGACAGCUAGGGCUGUAGGAAGCCUCAGUGAGAAAGAAUGGUCACUGGCUGUUUGCUGCCUUGUAC
rnacentral:lncRNA from 1 species